UCCCUGGUGGUCUAGAGGUUAGAACUUGGUACUUUCAACUGCUAAAGCCCAGGUUUGAUCCCUGGUCUGGGAA
rnacentral:tRNA from 1 species